AAACGGCGCUCGCUCACUUCAUUUUCGCCCGCCCCAGUGAUCAGGCAUACGUCUGAAGUUAUUGAAAACUAGUGAUAUAACCCUUGGAAAUUGUGGAUGAGUAUGAGGCAACCGCGAGCUUCUUGGAACGGGCUACCACGCCCCUGAUGGCGGCUGUAACUACGCCCACUACCGCUCACAAUCACGACAGAUUACAUUCGCGCCAAGUAGCCCAAACAAUCCGCCUGCCUCGCAUAGCAUAGGUGUUAAUUAUUAUCUAUGGACAUUAUUAUCUAUUGGCUUCACUAAUGCUGGAAAUACGUCUCGAUAGUCGAUCAAGGAACGUAGCUUUUAUUCAAAUUUACUUUUAAAUUUAAAGUAAAAAAAAUGAAGAAAUUAAAGUUAAGUUAGUAAGAGAAAUAAAACGGAAAGAAUGA